AACACCCAAAGACCGAAAACGGGUAGCCGGCCUGAGAGGGCGACCGGCCACACUGGGACUGAGACACGGCCCAGACUCCUACGGGAGGCAGCAGUGGGGAAUAUUGCACAAUGGGCGAAAGCCUGAUGCAGCGACGCCGCGUGAGGGAUGACGGCCUUCGGGUUGUAAACCUCUUUCAGCAGGGAAGAAGCGAAAGUGACGGUACCUGCAGAAGAAGCGCCGGCUAACUACGUGCCAGCAGCCGCGGCCG
rnacentral:rRNA from 1 species